rnacentral:sRNA from 2 species
GGCCAAGUUUUCUAGGGUUCCGCAAACAACCGGUUUGGUCUGGUCCAAGAGAAAACGCUUUGCACACACGCAAAGAUACACGGAAGGAUAAAAGCCUGGGAGAU